rnacentral:rRNA from 1 species
UGAGUAACACGUAUCCAACCUGCCGUCUACUCUUGGCCAGCCUUCUGAAAGGAAGAUUAAUCCAGGAUGGCAUCAUGAGUUCACAUGUCCGCAUGAUUAAAGGUAUUUUCCGGUAGACGAUGGGGAUGCGUUCCAUUAGAUAGUAGGCGGGGUAACGGCCCACCUAGUCAACGAUGGAUAGGGGUUCUGAGAGGAAGGUCCCCUACAUUGGAACUGAGACACGGUCCAA